UCAUCACGGUUUGUAUGUGUUACGUUUGACGUUUUUUUUCUCCUCUUGGUCUGGGUUUUUGCGUUUCGAUUGAUUUCUUCAUGAUAACUUACACAUUGAUCAUCAGACCAAAACCGAAGGGAAAGACAUCGAACAUAAUUGCAAAUAACUCUAUGUGAUUGGUCAUGGUGGUGUCACUCUGACCCUGCUUCCGAGUCCAAUCACACGAUGAGCCGCGCCCCCUCACAGCCAGAGCGAAAGAGCUGCAGGAGCUGAGGCAGUUUGACCAGGACUGGCGGUAUGGACCCUGCACAGGUAUCAGUCGUUUGCAGCAGUGGGAGAGAGCUGCACAGCAUGGGUUAAACCCCCCUCAGGAGAUCAGAUAUAUGCUGUUUAGCGCAGACACAGACUACACACACUGUCUGUCGAGUGACUAUCCAUUGUGAGAAAUGGAAAGAGGAGAGACAGAGAAGAUAAAAGUAGAAUGUCCAAAGUUCAGGUUGUUUUGCUUUUGUUUAGUUCAGGAUUGACUGCUAACCAUCACACUAUACGUUUUUAUUAAAAUACCCUUUUCUACAAAAAUAUAAGUUUUUAUUAGGUCUGACACACACCACUGCCUCUUUUGAGACAUUUACAUACAUAUUUGUAUAGGUAACCCAUUUCAAACUAAUCUAUUUAAAUUGUAUAUGUACCAGAGUGAGGAAGAGAGAGAGAGAGAGGGACAGUCAGAUGUUGCUAUUACCUGCUUAUGUUGUGUCGACAGUGACACAUUCUAUUACACAGUAAUCCUUAGAACUCAGGACAGCCUCAAUCGGGGCAUGGACUCUACAAGGUGUCGAGAGCAUUCUACAGGGAUGCUGGCCCA